rnacentral:rRNA from 1 species
CCCUUAGAUGUUCUGGGCUGCACGCGCGCUACACUGACACGUUCAACGAGUUGUUGCCUGGGCCGAGAGGUUUGGGAAAUCUUUUGAAAUCGUGUCGUGAUAGGGAUAGAUUAUUGCAAUUAUUAAUCUUCAACGAGGAAUUCCUAGUAAGCGCAAGUCAUAAGCUUGCGUUGAUUACGUCCCUGCCCUUUGUACACACCGCCCGUCGCUACUACCGAUUGAACGUUUUAGUGAGGUAUUUGGACUGGACCUUCGGAGGUUCGCGCCUCCGUUGCUGUUCGGGAAGACUCCCAAACUUGAGCGUUUAGAGGAAGUAAAAGUCGUANCA